UCUUCUUUUUGUCUUGUCAGCCUGUUUUUCGGUGUAUUCCCUCAUCUGAAUCGAGGGUCUCAGGGUUGUGACUGUGACUGUACAACUCGCCGGGACUAUGUUUUGAUCUGGGGCAACACAAACACAUCUGACUCAACUGGCUCAGCUUCCUUCUUUUCUUACCGAGUUCCUUACGCGAGGGUCUGGGAACAGGAUGUUGUGUUGCUGUGAAACCUACUUGGGCAAAUUUGUGAUUUGUGAUAUCGGGCUACACGAAUAAAAUGGACUUGACUUAUAACCUUCAUUACAGAAGCAGAAACAGCUUUAUUGGCCAUGUAUGGCUGCGCACACGAGGACCUUGACUCUGGUUCACAGCAGCUUCGAGCACUUGCAGACUCACACACAAAAAAAAAAGAAGAAGAAGAAAAAAAACCCAGAAGAACUAAAUGGAACGACAACAGGAAAUUGGGGGCAAGCAUUAUACUAUAUUGCAGACCUCCAUGUGUACACGGCUACAACUCUAUCAAUGGAACAGCACUCUUCCUCGAGGCAACUUGGCUCCUGGUAGGGUCACCCAGGGCAGAUAGCUCAAGGGGUAGGUUCCAGAUGAAGCG